rnacentral:rRNA from 1 species
UACGUAGGUCUCGAGCGUUAUCCGGUCUUAUUGGGCGUAAAGCGUGUGUAGGCGGUCGUAAAAGUCUUAAUUGAAAGAUCAAGGCUCAACCUUGGGAACGGUUAAGAUACUCUACGACUCGAGGGAGUUAGGGGGUAGCGGAACAAACAGAGUAGCGGUGAAAUGCUUUGAUACUGUUUGGAACACCAAAGGCGAAGGCAGCUACCUGGGACUUUCCUGACGCUGAGACACGAAAGCGUGGGGAG